UUCAGAGAAGCCACUGCCCACAUGUGCUCUCUUGCUUCCUUAUUGGUGGUGUUCAGGAGGAGAGGACUGGUUCCUCUCUGGAAAGCUGGGUGCUAUGACAGAUGAGACAUUUAUGCAAGAAAAUAAAUCCUGCACCUUUGAUGUACUGCUUGAAACUCUUUGGACGUGAAAUUGUAAGGAUUCUGUGACUAUGGAGAGUACUACCCUUUAAGAAAAUCAUCAGAAGAAAGGAAACUGAGAACACAUAGAAUCUUAAUGGUGUACCAAACCAAAUGUCGACUGGAACUCAACCAAAAACUAAGGUGUUUUCUAACGAGCAAAGCAAGGAAAGAGCAGAAAAUUCUGAAAACCAAACCUUGAUUAUGUUGUCCACCAAGUACUGCACUGAAUCCACACGAAUGAAGUGACAGAUACUCAAC
rnacentral:lncRNA from 1 species